rnacentral:rRNA from 1 species
AGCAGCCGCGGUAAUUCCAGCUCCAAUAGCGUAUAUUAAAGUUGUUGCAGUUAAAAAGCUCGUAGUUGAACUUCAGGCCUGGCUGGACGGUCCGCCUUCUGGGUGAGUACUGUCUGUGGUCGGGUCCUACCUUCUGGCGAAGCGUCAUGGCCUUCACCGGCCGUGGCGGGGAGCCAGGACUUUUACUGUGAAAAAAUUAGAGUGUUCAAAGCAGGCACGCGCUUGAAUACAUUAGCAUGGAAUAAUGGAAUAGGACAGUGGUUCUAUUUGUUGGUUUU